GCAGAGACAGUGUGUGUCACUCCCCUGAUAGCACAGGAGAGGACCACAUGCUUCAUCACCUACAGGGUAGUAAACCAGUGGUGGUCUCUCCAGAAGUGCAAUAUAUUGAGACUCUUGGGUAUGACCAAUAUGGAUUAAAGAAGAAGGCAGAAAGAGAGCAAAUGAAAAUAAAAUUACAACUUGUAUAUUUAUUUUUUACAUUUUGCUUUGACUUUAGGGAGUCCAUUUUUACUCAAGAACAAACUAAGUCUGUCUGUCGUCUGCAUAGUCUCCCUGCCUGUUCCUACCCUUGAAGCUCCUUAUGCUGGGAAGGCUGUUUGUUUGUUUUUUUAAGAAAUAGAAUAUUUAAUCUGAAUAAGUGUUUAUUUAAAUGUGUAAUGCUUUGAAAAUAAUGGGCAACAGAGAACUAAAGGAUGUUUAUAAAGUGAGCUUGUUGGCUCCAUUUAUAAAUAUAUACGAUUUAUAAGCUUUUUUAAAACAAAGCUCAAAUUGUGGGUAUUUUUCUAAAAUGUGCACAGCUGUAUUUUCCAUGAAGGAUCUUUCUAAUGGGUUGUUAUACUGUACUCUACAUUUUGGACAGCACAUGAAGUCUGCCAAUGUACUUAAUAAAACAUGACUUUGUUUAUUUAAAGUUUCUUGCUGUGAAAAACCCUACCAGUGGGUUCCUUAAUUUAUAAUCCUUAAAACCAAAAUGUAUAAUGUACAGUUUCCACAACUGUAACUGCCCUAAUAAAAAUGUUGGUUAUUAAUAAAGUUCGAGAUGUCUUUC
rnacentral:lncRNA from 1 species